rnacentral:lncRNA from 1 species
AAUGCCUGACUUUGUGCAUAGGUUCAUCAGUUCUGUUUGUACCAUAAAGUAUUGCAUAGUUUUCUGCUACUAUGCUUGGUUUACGUGAAAUGUGACAUUGAUCUUAGCUACUGUUCCGGUAUAUAUGAGCUAGAGUUGGUUCUAGGAAAUUCAAAUUCCAUGAUGAAUUGUGAUGUGCUCAAGUGUAUUUCUAUUGAAACAUUUGCAGGAUUGGUUUCUGGAGAAACAUCGUUGGCUGGUCGGUAUAGAUAGUUCGGACUUUGGGUCAUUCUCUUGAUAUUUAUCACCUCAGUAUGCUGAGAAGAUUCUUUUCACCCUCCAGAUAGGUACACAAUUCUCUUCAGUGAGAAUUAACUAUAGCCCUUUUUUAUAGUAUGCGAUGAGAGCUCAGGAACCACAGACGUUAAAGUUGAGUUCUGGAUGAUGCGUUAUCAUCAGCUUUUGUAUAGAAUUUAGCUCAUUACCCCUGACAUUAUUAUCGCGUGCAGAGUAUUUUCUGCAUGCACAUUCUCUGUAAAUCUGGUCUUGUGAAAUUCAAGUUCAUGAAUAAUGGUAAUAGAGCAUAUCAACACCAUAUAAAACAAGUUGCUUGUUUUGUUUUAUAGCUCCCUUUUACUAUAUGAAACUUUAGGUGAAUGGGAGUAUUGAAGGAUUAUGGUUCCAAAUGCUAAAGGGAUUUGCUAAAAUUUGUAUCUUAACUAUGUUGGUUGAGCCAAUUUGUAUGCACCUCGACUAGAGGCAUCAUUGAGAAAAGUGCAUGGAUACCCGAUUUUGAUAUUGCCAUUUAAAUUGUGUGUAUGACUUCGGGC